rnacentral:rRNA from 1 species
AGUUGGAAUCGCUAGUAAUCGCAGGUCAGCUAUACUGCGGUGAAUACGUUCUCGAAUCUUGUACUCAC